GACGAACGCUGGCGGCGUGCUUAACACAUGCAAGUCGAACGGAAAGGCCCUGCUUUUGUGGGGUGCUCGAGUGGCGAACGGGUGAGUAACACGUGAGUAACCUGCCCUUGACUUUGGGAUAACUUCAGGAAACUGGGGCUAAUACCGGAUAGGAGCUCCUGCUGCAUGGUGGGGGUUGGAAAGUUUCGGCGGUUGGGGGUGGACUCGCGGCUUAUCAGCUUGUUGGUGGGGUAGUGGCUUACCAAGGCUUUGACGGGUAGCCGGCCUGAGAGGGUGACCGGCCACAUGGGGCCUGAGAUACGGCCCAGACUCCUACGGGAGGCAGCAGUGGGGAGUAUUGCACAAUGGGCGGAAGCCUGAUGCAGCAACGCCGCGUGCGGGAUGACGGCCUUCGGGUUGUAAACCGCUUUCGCCUGUGACGAAGCGUGAGUGACGGUAAUGGGUAAAGAAGCACCGGCUAACUACGUG
rnacentral:rRNA from 1 species